UACGUAGGGGGGCAAGCGUUGUCCGGAAUCAUUGGGCGUAAAGCGCGUGUAGGCGGCCCGAUAAGUCCGCUGUGAAAAGUCCAGGGCUCAACCCUGGGAUGCCGGUGGAUACUGUCGGGCUCGAGUCCGGAAGAGGAGUGUGGAAUUCCUGGUGUAGCGGUGAAAUGCGCAGAUAUCAGGAGGAACACCAAUGGCGAAGGCAGCACUCUGGGACGUGACUGACGCUGAGACGCGAAAGCGUGGGGAGCAAACAGG
rnacentral:rRNA from 1 species